GCUGAGUGUGGUGGCCCACACUUGUAAUACCAGCAACUAGGGAGGCUGAGGCAGGAGUAUUCCCAGUUUAAAACCAGCCUGGUGAGUUUUGCAAGACCCUGUCUCAA
rnacentral:sRNA from 1 species